rnacentral:rRNA from 1 species
UACAGAGGUCCCAAGCGUUGUUCGGAUUCACUGGGCGUAAAGGGUGCGUAGGUGGUGAGGUAAGUCAGAUGUGAAAUCUCCGGGCUCAACCCGGAAAUGGCAUUGGAAACUACCUUGCUGGAGGGUUUGAGGGGGGAUUGGAAUACUUGGUGUAGCAGUGAAAUGCGUAGAUAUCAAGUGGAACACCAGUGGCGAAGGCGAAUCCCUGGAAAACACCUGACACUGAGGCACGAAAGCUAGGGGAGCAAACAGG